GCCUAAAGCGUCCGUAGCCUGUUCUAUAAGUUUCCGGUUAAAUCCACUAGCUCAACUAAUGGGCUGCCGAAAAUACUGUAGAACUAGGGAGUGGGAGAGGUAGACGGUAUUCGGUAGGAAGGGGUAAAAUCCUUUGAUCUAUUGAGGACCACCUGUGGCGAAGGCGGUCUACCAGAACACGUUCGACGGUGAGGGAUGAAAGCUGGGGGAGCAAACCGGAUUAGAUACCCGGGUAGUCCCAGCUGUAAACGAUGCAGACUCGGUGAUGCGCUGGCUUGUGGCCAGUGCAGUGCCGCAGGGAAGCCGUUAAGUUUGCCGCCUGGGAAGUACGUACGCAAGUAUGAAACUUAAAGGAAUUGGCGGGGGAGCACCACAAGGGGUGAAGCCUGCGGUUCAAUUGGAGUCAACGCCAGAAAUCUUACCCGAAGAGACAGCAGAAUGAAGGUCAAGCUGGAGACUUUACCAGACAAGCUGAGAAGUGGUGCAUGGCCGUCGCCAGCUCGUGCCGUGAGAUGUCCUGUUAAGUCAGGUAACGAGCGAGAUCCCUGCCUCUAGUUGCCACCAUUGCUCUCUGGAGCAGUGGGGCGAAUUAGCGGGACCGCCGCAGUUAAUGCGGAGGAAGGAAAGGGCUACGGCAGGUCAGUAUGCCCCGAA
rnacentral:rRNA from 1 species